AAUUUACGUUAUCGUUAAUGUGAUGGAGAUAAUUUUUUGUAUAUAUACUGUACACUGCACCAAGGUUUGGUAUCAAACAAUCAACAUGACUUCCAAGGUAAUCAUCUUCGUCGUUUUGUUGUGCCUCAUACACGUGAGCUUUGCGGGAAUACGGGUUCCAAGACUUGCCGAUGGAGAAACUGCGAGCGUUGCUGGAGCCAGUGUUAGCAGUGGGGGUGGAAGUGGUGGAAAAGGGGAGGGUGGAAGUGGAUCACAAAACCUGGGAAGUUUCGCUGGAGUCUUCGAAAAACUUCCUAAGGGAUUCUUGGAGUCAUUUACAGGAUUUUUGGAAAAGUUUAAACAAUAAUCUUCAAGAGUUGAAAUGAUUUAAUAAAUAUCUCAUAUCUA